GUUAAGCGACUAAGCGUACACGGUGGAUGCCCUGGCAGUCAGAGGCGAUGAAGGGCGUGCUAAUCUGCGAUAAGCGCCGGUAAGGUGAUAUGAACCGUUAUAACCGGCGAUACCCGAAUGGGGAAACCCAGUGUGAUUCGUCACACUAUCAUUAACUGAAUCCAUAGGUUAAUGAGGCGAACCGGGGGAACUGAAACAUCUAAGUACCCCGAGGAAAAGAAAUCAACCGAGAUUCCCCCAGUAGCGGCGAGCGAACGGGGAGGAGCCCAGAGCCUGAAUCAGCAUGUGUGUUAGUGGAAGCGUCUGGAAAGGCGCGCGAUACAGGGUGACAGCCCCGUACACAAAAGCGCAUAUUCUGUGAGCU
rnacentral:rRNA from 1 species